GAGGAGUACUAAGAGUGGGCAUCCUUGUCUUGUUCCCAUUCUCAGAGGGAAUGCUUUCAACUUUUCCCCAUUCAGUAUUAUGUUGGCUGUGGGUUUGUCAUAGAUGGCUUUUGUUACAUUAAGACUGGAAAAGAAUGGCCCAGAUCCUCUGGACUCCUCAGAUGAGCGGAUUCAGAGAGAAGCUUUUGAGAGCGUGCUGGCGGAGACAUUUUUCACAAAAGAGCCCUUGCGGUGCUGGUGUCCGUGGCGUGCCUGGGAAGGCCCACCAACGCUGGCCGGCCUCCAAGCACCCGGGCCUCUGCUCAUGUACAGCUCCUGAACUGCCCUGCCUCUGAGUUACUGUGGAAAAUGAGCUUAUAUAUGAAGAAGUCAGCGAGUGGACAAAGCCAGGCGCAAUGGAUAGCAAAGAUGUGGAAGUCUCCUCGAUUCAAGUUACAAGAAAACCGCAGCAUGGAGUCUGCUCUCAGCUGUUGGGGAAUUACCGAUGCCUUUGACUAAGUCAAGACUGACUUUUCCAGAAUAUCACCCAAGAGAUAGAGCCGUCCCUGUCCAAGUUUGUGCGCUAGCCCUUCAUGGAGGUCAGAGAGGAAGAAACAAAGGCAGCUGUGGCCUCGGCGGUCACAGUGUCAGAACGCACAAGCCCCAUAAAGAGGUUUCACGCAGGCCACCCAUCCCUUUUCAUUCUCCAGCAGAACAGGACAGAGAGCGUUCUGUUCUGCGGAAGGUCUUCCACUCUACAAGGCAAUCCCUCCAGCUGCUUUGCUGUAUUGUGCUGUCUCCUGUCACACUAUGAAUGCAGUGACCUCAGCCAGCAACAGGGAGAACCCCCCUGCCUCCCGAACAAAGGACCUCACGUGAAAUCCUGAGCUCAGAGCUUACAGAUAUGUGUGCGCUUUCACUUUACAUCGGCCGUGACUUCCAAACAACUUCAGGAAACUUUAGGAUCUCUGAGGUAUACUGGAGAUGACAGCAGCGUAGAAUGUUCAUUUGGAUUUAGAACAGAAAUGCUUAUUUUAUAUUUGGCUGCUCCCAAACUGUCCCCAGACUUCCUCUCCAGUGGUUACCCUCCACUGCCCUGGAUGUCCCACGUUUACACUCCACACUCACACCUCCACCUUAACAAAGUCCUCCACUGGGUCAAACCAUACAUCGCUUCGUCUCUGUAGUGAUGACUUCCUGUCCUCUGCUCUGUGGAUAAAGACCCCAGAUAAAGAUGCCUGUGUUGCUCAACUCUUGUAAAUACUCUUGAGACAUUUUGAAAGCAGAAGGAAAGGAGACAGACGGGGAAAAUAAAAGGGAUGGUCUGCUUGUGCGGAAACGUUUUGAGAAUGCCCUUCCCUAAGAGAGAACAGUAAAAGUGAGCAAUACUU
rnacentral:lncRNA from 1 species